GUGGGGAAUAUUGGGCAAUGGGCGCAAGCCUGACCCAGCAACGCCGCGUGAAGGAAGAAGGCUUUCGGGUUGUAAACUUCUUUUCUCAGGGACGAACAGAUGACGGUACCUGAGGAAUAAGCCACGGCUAACUACGUGCCAGCAGCCGCGGUAAUACGUAGGUGGCAAGCGUUAUCCGGAUUUACUGGGUGUAAAGGGCGUGUAGGCGGGACUGCAAGUCAGAUGUGAAAACUUAGGGCUCAACCCUAAGCCUGCAUUUGAAACUGUAGUUCUUGAGUACUGGAGAGGCAGACGGAAUUCCUAGUGUAGCGGUGAAAUGCGUAGAUAUUAGGAGGAACACCAGUGGCGAAGGCGGUCUGCUGGACAGCAACUGACGCUGAGGCGCGAAAGCGUGGGGAGCAAACAGGAUUAGAAACCCUAGUAGUCC
rnacentral:rRNA from 1 species